rnacentral:sRNA from 1 species
CCGCCGCUAAGAAAACGGUACUGUCUUCGCGGCCUCUGGGCGUCAGGUUAUGAGUAGGCUCCACCGGUUGGAGGUUUCUGCGCGCCGCCCGACUCAGAGACUGGUUCCGAAGCGCCUACUCGAAUAGGCCGCAAACACAGCCGCGCUGCGCGGGGAGCUACUGGAGGUCUUCCUCUUGCCCGGCGUGCACUGCGCCAGGAGGCGUGGAAAAUGAAAACCAUAGAGAAGAUUAUACAUAGAUAGUCUCCGCUGUCUCCUCGGCCUCACUAAGUAUAGAAGGGUAACCAUAGAGUAGGAUUGUCUAGUGAGACCUAGAGAGGCUCAAGCUCUAAAUUACGACCCACCCUGCCAUUUUUGAUUGGAGCUGAUUGAAUCUUAUGACUGUGGGACGCCAUCUUGAGGUCAAGGUUCCGGCUGGUUACCCGCGCGGGGCUUGUUAGAGGUUUUCUCACUUUUUGGUAGUUCGUUUUCCAGGAAUUAGAACCUUGGUCUCCUGAUUCUUUGAAGUUCGAUGAACUGAUACCUGGGCGGGACUAAGAACCUCAAUAGAAAGCCCAAAUGUCAUUUGUCCUUCGAAAAAAACUGCUCACAUCAAGAAAUAAUUGGCAACGGCUAUAUUGGGUUUUUUGGACUUUUUGUGUGUAUACUCACUACAACUUAGGCGAAGUAACAGGGUCAAAGAGGUUCCUUGUAAAAGGAUGAACAUUACCUACUUCCCAAGACUACUGUAAGGAUUAAAUUAACAAAUAUAUGAAGGUACUUUCUACAAUAAAAUGCACAUUAAAUAUUCUUUACAUUUUGUAAAUAAUUAUUUUUACAACCACAAACAUAAAAAUCCUCUCAACUUA